CCAAAGGCUCUUUGCAGAGCCACCUUAAAAACAAAAACAACCAAA
rfam:Papio anubis isolate 1X1155 chromosome 17, whole genome shotgun sequence.